ensembl:lncRNA
GGUGCUGUUCUCUACUGUACCAGCUGAGGCAGGUUAGACAGGGUGCUGUAGAUGUGUUCUCUACUGUACCAGCUGAGGCAGGUUAGACAGGGUGCUGUAGAUGUGUUCUCUACUGUACCAGCCGAGGCAGUCUGGAGUCAGAGGGCAGGAGGAGAGAUUUCAUCACACUUUGCACCUCAUGCACAGAGAUCUCAUCGCCACGGAAACAGAUAAGACCCGGGUAAUCAGGUAACGACAGGCGUCUCACCUGGAUAUCUGAGGACGCCGCACGUAUGCUUGCCGACAUCACCAAGGCCGAGAUAAUUCCUUCGGACAGUCAGAGAGAGAAGGGGCGGGGGGGACAGACUGACUGACUGCUGUCUACCUGAAGCAGGUUUGUCUCUGAGGUAUCGACCUGUCACCAGUAGCUGCUGAGACCACAGAAACGUGCCUCUGCUUCAGCUGGUGUUGAUCUGGUAGCUGUUGAAAAUUGAGUAGAACCCAUCAGAUGUCCUGAUUAAUUGAGAGGUGCGGAGAGACGACGGACAGACAGACGCUCCCUUAACGGGAUUCCACAGCUUCAUCAAUAGGUUUGAUUGGAAAGUGAAGAGUACUUGGGCUGAUUUAUAGCUCAUACGGAGGCUAGUUUGCUAGCGGUGAUAAUCAAAGUGAUCAGGGCAUUCAGAAAGUGAUCAACUAGGUAGAGUUGGGUGGAAGACAGUUGAUAUGUUGCUGUUAUAUUUUUUAUGUCAAAAUGAUACAUUUGUAUAUUUCUAUGGUGUUUUAUUUAAUAUGCUGUAGUUAUAUUACUUAUAUUGAGAAGUUUUGAUAUGUUGUCUAGUUGUAUUACAAAUAUUGAGGAAGAGAGAGACAGGGAGAGAGAAAGGAGAGAGAGUAAGGAAGAGAGAGACAGGGAGAGAGAAAGGAGAGAGAGUAAGGAAGAGAGAGACAGGGAGAGAGAAAGGAGAGAGAGUAAGGAAGAGAGAGACAGGGAGAGAGAAAGGAGAGAGAGUAAGGAAGAGAGAGACAGGGAGAGAGAAAGGAGAGAGAGUAAGGAAGAGAGAGACAGGGAGAGAGAAAGGAGAGAGAGUAAGGAAGAGAGAGAGGAAGAGAGAGACAGGAGAGAGAGAAGAGGAAGAGAGAGACAAGGAAGAGAGAGACAGGAGAGAAAGGAGAGAGAGUAAGGAAGAGAGAGACAGGGAGAUAGAAGAGAGAAAGGAGAGAGAAAGGAAGAGAGACAGGAGAGAGAAGAGGAGAGAGAGACAGGGAGAGAGAAAGGAGAGAGAGACAGGGAGAGAGAAAGGAAGAGAGAGACAGAAAGAGAGAGACGGAGAGAGAAAGGAGAGAGAGAGACAGGAAGAGAGAGACGGAGAGAGAAAGAGAGAAAGGAGAGAGAGUAAGGAAGAGAUAGACGGAGAGAGAAAGGAGAGAGAGAGAACUUUGUGAUGUCUUUCCUCCCCAGACUAUGGCUUCUCGACCUGAACUAGAGGACCAGAAAUCCACAGGAUCCACAGAGAAGCACAAAGAUGAUCAACUCAGUGGUACGUUAUGAAUCAUUAGUGUGUGUGUGUGUGUGUGUGCAUGUAAACCAGUGCUUCAUUUGUAAAUCGGGAAGUGCUGAGACAUAAAGUGAGAGCGAGAGGUAGGAGACCUGAGAGAUCUGAGGUACCGAAUCAUCUUUAUAGUAAAGCAUUGCAUAUCAUCCCAUGUGCGUAGCGGUCUAGACUAGAGCAGUAGAGUAGAGGUGCUUGCAGAAUUUAAUCUAGAUUCUAGAUUUCUAUGCAAUUGAAUUCUAGAUUUCUAUACAAUUGAGAGCAGUAGAGGCACUUGCAGAAUUCAAUCUCCAUUCUUGUAACGGUUUUCUUCUGUCGAAGGAGAGGAGGACCAAAAUGCAGCGUAGUUCGUGUUCACCAUGUUUAAUAAAAGAUGAUAACGUGAACACUACACAAAUACAAAAUAACAAACGUGGCAAAACCCGAAACAGUCCUAUCUGGUGCAGAGAACACAAAGACAGGAAACAACCACCCACAAACCCCCAACACAAAACAAGCUGCCUAAAUAUGGUUCCCAAUCCGAGACAAUGACUAACACCUGCCUCUGAUUGAGAACCAUAUCAGGCCAAACAUAGAAAUAGACAAACUAGACACAGAACAUAGAAUGCCCACCCAGCUCACUUCCUGGCCAAACACUAAAAUAAGGAAAACACAAAAGAACUAUGGUCAGAACGUGACAAUUCUAGAUCAAUUCUAGAUUUCUAUGCAAUUGAAUUCUAGAUUUCUAUGCAAUUGAAUUCUAGAUUUCUAUGCAAUUGAAUUCUAGAUUUCUAUGCAAUUGAAUUCUAGAUUUCUAUACAAUUGAAUUCUAGAUUUCUAUGCAAUUCUAUUUUAUAUGACUGGAGACUUUAGCAUUGUCGUUUUUUAACACCGCACAAAAUGAUUGACAGGACAGGCUACUUUGCCACUGACAAACUGAGAAUGUGAGAUCAUUAAAAACGACCUCUUCUUGAAUCCAUCAAUAGUUUAGGUCUAGAUGUGGUGAGGAGGAGACAAUAUGAGGAGG